UCUCAGUGAUGAUCAAAACGAUGACGAGUCUGAUGAAAUCCAUUCAAAACAAUUGUGAGGACAAAACGAGGCAUUUGUCUGAGAGAAUUCCACACUUACAUUCUAUUAUGUUUUCAUUUGUUUUUUGUAGUUAUAUAUAUGUUGGCACUAUGAUGAUUGAUUUUAUUGUCAUAUGAUAUUUUAUAUGAUUAAAAAAUCCUCCUACUCAUUCUGAGUGCCAUUCAAAAUAUAAUUUAUUUUUUUCUUAUAACUUAAUAUGAGAUCACUGUGAUGACUACAUAAAAUUCAAGCUCAACAGACCGCAGUGCAGGGCUUUCUUCUCUUUUGAGAGAUUGAUUGCUUUGCGUGUCGAUAACCCCGCUGAACUGAGUGAUCUCUCUUUUAAUUUAUUUUUAAUUUUCGUUUCGAUUUAUUUGUUGACGAUGAGGAUACAAAGCUCCCUCUUCUGAUUUUCAGGUGAGGACAAUUGCAGGCAGAAUCGAACCUAAACAAAUCUAGCCACCACUGAGUCAACUCUUAAUUUUGUAUUGAACGUUUAAUUUCUAUGUCAAGUCCGUGAUGUGUUUUUAUUUGCCUACAUUGUCUGAUAAUCUUUUUUAGAUUAAGAUGUGUUUGAAUAACCUGAGACCUCA
rnacentral:lncRNA from 1 species